rnacentral:rRNA from 1 species
UUCGCAAUGCCCGAAAGGGUGACGAAGCGACGCCGCGUGCGGGAAGAAGGCCUUCGGGUUGUAAACCGCUGUCGGGAGUUAAGAAAUGUAAGGAUGUCAAUAGCGUCUUUACUUGACUAAGGCUCCGGAGGAAGCCACGGCUAACUCUGUGCCAGCAGCCGCGGUAAUACAGAGGCGGCAAGCGUUGUUCGGAAUUAUUGGGCGUAAAGAGCACGUAGGCGGCUAUGUAAGUCGGUUGUGAAAGCCUUCCGCUCAACGGGAGAACAGCAUCCGAUGCUGCAUGGCUUGAGUGUGGGAGGGGAGAGUGGAACUUCUGGUGGAGCGGUGAAAUGCGUAGAUAUCAGAAGGAACGCCGGCGGCGAAAGCGGCUCUCUGGCCCAUAACUGACGCUGAGUGUGCGAAAGCUAGGGGAGCAAACGGGAUUAGAUACCCCGGUAGUCCUAGCCGUAAACGAUGGGCACUAAGUAGAGGGGUUUU